UCAGGAUGUACUAUUGUACAACUUCUUUGGCUCAUCACCGUUGAAAAAUAAGUGGAGAGUUAUUUAUGAAUACAUGAAAGAACAGAAUUUGCUUGAUGCUAGUUCUCCAUCUGUUCCAAGUUUUAAUCCAGGAAAACACAAUGUCCUGUGCUCUGAAUUGAAGCAAUUAUAUGUUGCUAUCACUCGUACAAGGCAGAGAUUGUGGAUUUGUGAGAAUAUUGAGGAGUUCUCCAAACCAAUGUUUGAUUAUUGGAGGAAGAAGGCCCUUGUCCAAGUCAGACAGCUGGAUGAUUCUCUUGCAUUAGCAAUGCAAGUUGCCAGCAGCCCAGAAGAGUGGAAGUCACAGGGUUAUAAGGUUUUCUGGUUUUUAUUUCUUUGUAGUUUCUUAAAUAUGAAUAACCUUGCUAUUAAUUCUGUUAUUUUUCUUGUCGAUAAUAUUGUUAUCAUGUGCUUAUCGGUAAUUUACCCUAAAAGUUUGGAAAUGCAAUAAAUUUGUGCAAGUUAGGAGACUGUUGUUUGCAGUUGCUGUUAUCAAUUAUUAUUGCAUUUUUGUCUUCCAUAUAAAGUAUAUAACAAAAAUAUUUGCUGCCAUCAUGUGCUAUUUUGGGGGUAUCAAUGAGAAUAAUUUUUUGUCUUACAUAAAACUACAAGGACAUGAAGAUGCCUUUCAUACUGAGUUCUUGUAGUUGCAUCAUGGUCAUGAAAUAGUAACUUUCUCUUUCUUUUCCUUAUGUUGGUCAUGAAGCUUUUGUGUUUGGGCAACUAUGAGAUGGCAACAAUGUGCUUUGAAAGAGCAGGAGAUGAAUAUGGAGAAAAAUUGGCCAAGGCUUCUGGGCUCCGAGCAGCUGCUGAAAAAAUGCAAGCUUCAAAUCCUGAGAUGGCUUCUACUGCCCGCAGGCAGGCUGCUGAAAUUUUUGAGGCCAUUGGAAAAGCUGAGUAUGCUGCAGAAUGUUUUUUCAUGCUAAAGGAGUAUGAAAGAGCAGGAAAAAUUUAUUUGAAAUGUGGCGAUUUUGCUUUGGAAAAAGCUGGGGAGUGUUUCUAUCUUGCUGGAUGUUAUAAAUUUGCAGCAGAAGUAUAUGCCAAAGGCAACCAUUUCUCAAAGUGUUUAUCUGCCUGUACUGAAGGAAAACUCUUUGAUGUGGGCUUGCAAUACAUUCAGUACUGGAAACAACAUGUGACAGAAGAUAUUUACAUGGUUAAAAGGAGCGAGGAAAUGGAUAAAAUUGAACGAGAGUUUUUGGAGAGCUGUGCACUUCACUAUCACGAGUUGAAUGAUAACAGAGCCAUGAUGAAAUAUGUUAGAGCUUUUGACUCCAUAGCUUCCAUCCGCACUUUCUUGGAAAAUUUAGGGUGCCUUGAUGAGCUUCUUUUAUUUGAAGAAGAAUCAGGCAACUUCCUGGAGGCAGCAAAAAUUGCAAAGCAGAAAGGUGAACUUUUACAUGAGGCUGAUCUGCUUGGAAAGGCUGGACAUUUUAAGGAUGCAUCAUUGCUUAUUCUUUGGUAUGUGUUCGCAAGCUCUCUGUGGUCAUUUGGGAGCAAAGGCUGGCCCUUAAAGGAGUUUACAGAGAAGGUGGAGCUUCUAACAAAAGCAGAGUCAUUUGCAAAGAAUGAUUCGAGACAAUAUUACGAGUUUGUGCAUAUGGAAGCCGGAAUUUUAUUGAAUAACCAGUGCAGCCUGUCCACGAUGAAACAACAUCUAAACGCUUCUCAGGGACAGAAGAGUAUAAGAGGUGAAAUAUUAUCUGCUCGAAAGAUUCUGGAUGCACAUCUUAAUUUAAAUGCCUGUAAGUAUGAGUGGGAAAAUGACAUGGUUCUUGAUCUAACAAGGUUCUCAGAAAAUAAAAUUUCAAAAAAUCAGGUUUGUAUUGAGACACUAGUUUACUUCUGGAAUUUCUGGAAGGAUAAUAUUGGGAAAAUAUUCGAGUAUCUGAGAAGUCUUGAAACACAAGACGCUAGUGAAUUCAGAAGUUAUGGAGAAUUCUGCUUGA
rnacentral:misc_RNA from 1 species